rnacentral:rRNA from 1 species
UACGGGGGGGGCAAGCGUUGUUCGGAAUUACUGGGCGUAAAGGGCUCGUAGGCGGCCAACUAAGUCAGACGUGAAAUCCCUCGGCUUAACCGGGGAACUGCGUCUGAUACUGGAUGGCUUGAGGUUGGGAGAGGGAUGCGGAAUUCCAGGUGUAGCAGUGAAAUGCGUAGAUAUCGUAAGGAAGGCCGGUGGCGAAAGCGAGCCUCUGGACAGUUACUGACGCUGAUGCACGAAGGCCAGGGGAGCAAACGGG